CAAAAAAAAAAAAAAAAGAGUCAAGAUGGCAGGUGUGGGGGUUUAGAAUGCCAAAUAAGAUCCUAUUACAGUUUCUGUUAGCAGUAUUGAUUGUUGAGUGUGCUUUUAGCUGGCCUCUGAAAUUUAUGUGCAUUACAUCAUUUAAUCCUCUCAAUAGCAACCCUAAAGAUGAGGACUCUCAUACCUCCAUUUUAUAGAUGAGGACACUGGGCUCAGAGAGGUUCAGAGUCUUGCCCGAGGUCACACAGCCAGCACAUGACAGAGCAGGGAUUUGAGCUGAGGUGCUGUCUGGCCUCAGACAAGCCCAUCUGCAGCUGGUACCAAGGAGUAGCAGGCUCAGCCUGGGGAGGAGGAGGACCUCACGGAGGCAGCAGCGAGCAGGGGGCAGGCUUUGGGGAGCAGGGUGCUGAGAAGGGUGGAGAGGAAUGUGGGAGGAGGGUAACCCUGACCGACCCAGGAAUGUCAGGAGGUGGAUGAAGAGUGAUGGGGGACAUAAGGGAGGCCAGGGGGCAAGGCCGGGCAGUCAAAUCUAGGUUCCAGAAGGAGGGAGCAGGGAGAGCAAGCAGAUGCAGCCAGAGGGUCCUUGGAGGUGAGAUCCCACCUGGCAGGGCGGCCCAGGCAGCCCUGGCUGCAGGAAGCUGAGCCCCUUCCCCCCGUCACGGCAGGUUGAGGCCUCUUCCAGGAGAGGAAAAACAGCCUUGUCUUGGGGCACACCUGGCUGCCCCACUGGGCGGGCAUUGGGUUUCAGGAGCACUCAAUAACAUGCCUGGGGGCAGUCCCCUGGGGAGGGGCUGUGUACCCCUCUCUGCCCGUAUCCAGUCCCCUUUACUGGCCGCCCACCAAAAAACUACUUACUUUCCCGAAAGCAAGGACACAGUACACCUGUGUGGUGUCGGGGGCACUGGGACAAACGGCUGCUGAAUUAAGUGGCUGGACUGAACUGAGGAUGGCGGGAAGACAGGGGCGGAGGGUGUGGGGGUGUAGAGCCAAGAGCCAUUCAGGAGGAAAGAAGAGAAAGUGUCUUGUCUCAAGGGGCACGUUGAAAGGCAAGGUUUACAAGGUAGAAACAGGAUCACUUCCGGCCCCCUGUCUGGGCCGUCAGUCUUGGAAACUCUCUUAGUGAGGUGGGUUUAAAAAAAACUUAGCUGAAAUUAACGACUUGGGCAAGAAGGGAAGCGGCUAGGAGAUGGAGCUGCCCUUGGCUUGGAGAGAAAGGGUUCAGACCCUGAUGAUGAAAUCCUGGCCUGUCUUAAUGGGCCUCACUCACGCCAGCUUUUCAGAAAGAAGUGUCUGCAGAACCCGCUUUAUCUAACACUAGAAAGCCAGCUUUCUACCACGGUUCAAAGUGUCUGGUUAAAGUGACCAUGCACUUAGCAGCUGUGUGACCUGGGGCAAAUUUCUUGGCCUCAGUUUCUUCAUCCAUAAAUGAGGGCAGUAAUAAAACUACACCAUGGAAUUGCCAUUGUAAAUUAAGUAAGCCUGGCAUGCAGGAAGAGCCCAAUAAAUGCUAGCCACUGUUAUAUUAUUUCUGCAGUUUGGGGAGCAAAUGGCUCCCACUGAAUUCUCAAGAGUGCAACUUUCUCUUGACUGUGCCCUGCUGUAAGAAAGACUCAAUUUAUGCAGUAAGAUGAGCCCUAGGCUAGAACCAGGAGACCCUUAUUCCUGUUCCAGCUGUUUCUCUGGUGGCUGUGUGACUUUGGGCAAGUCCCUUUCCCUCUCUGGGCUUCCGUUUUCUCACUGGGGCAGUGAAGGAGUUGGACCAGAAGACUUCUCAGCCGGAUAGGUCUGUGAUAUUCCUUGAACAUCUCAUGUAGAGUGGCUCCAGGAGGGGCCUCCGAUCAGUCCUCAGAGAGAGGCCUGGCAGGAGGGAUGCUGAGUUAUAAGGAACGAUUCCAACGGGAAAGGUGAUUGGGAAAUCUUUCCUCUUAGUGUAGCUCACCCAGACCCCUGGUGAGUCUUCCUGUACCUGGCAUGCUUUGUCAGAGCUGGGUGGAGAUGCCCUGUAACCAUGCCCUGAACAUGCUUAUACCUGUGCACACACAGAGCACACUCCCCGUGGGCAUGGGAGCCCCUGUGCCCAUGCACACACGUAACACACACACACACUCACAGAGCUGCUUCCAUGGUCCACAUAGAAACUAGCCCCCUGCCCCCAGCCAGUGUGGGUAUCGUUGCUGGUUUCAGAACGCCUGGACCCUGCCAGGGGGUAGCAUGGCCAGACUUAGCAGACAAAAAUACCAGAUGCCCAGGUAAAUUAGAAAAGAGCUUUAACGGCUGAAGUUUUGUCAUUUAUGGACAGAAACUGAAUACUGGACAUUUAGUAUGUCCUGCCGGCCCAUCCAGGACGCAGGACACAGUCAGCAAACACAGGCCAUGUUCCAUGUGCAGGGGGCCUGGUAGCCCUGUCCUGGAGGCCCCCGAGGCUGAGAUGGAUCAGACUGAACACUGUGGAGAGCUUCCUGCCCGGAGACAAGCAGUUCAUUUGGAAUGCUCUCAGGCUGGGGGUUUGGCGAAAGAGAGAAAAUAAAGGAAAAGGUCCUUGGGGCUUUGUUGGGGGAGGGGCCCGGCUGCAUUGUCUUCAGGGAGCUGAUCCGCCUCCCUCCCUCAGGGACCAGCACCCAGCCGCCAGCUCACCCCUCCAUCGCCUGUUGUUGCGGGAGCAGCCGGGUGGGAGUUGCUGCUCUUCCAGGACGGAGCUGACUCAGGGAAACACCCCCUUGUCAGGAAGAAGUGCGAGUGGGCAGGACCCGGCUCAGACCCGGCUCAGACCCUGCUCCGACCCCCAUCAGGUGCCUAAGUUAGGAACAGCCCUCUUUCUAAUUCUUUGCUCACCAGCCCUCCGAGUGGCCAGGGACCCUCCUCACUUUGUAGAUGAGCAAAUGGACAUUCUGCCUGGGCCUCUAAGAGAUUUGCCGUGGAAGGGGAAAGAGGCCGCCAGCUCCUAGCUGAGCCCGAGUUGGACUGGCCUCUCCUGACUUGUGUGGCUUCAGCUGCCCCAGAAUGGGUGGGGCUGCAGUUGGUGGGCAUCCCUGUGCAUAGGGGACCAACCAAGCUGUGUGGCAAAGCUGAGGCUUAGGGAGGGAGCGUUGGCCAAUCCAUCUUCUCCCAUCCCCUUUACCUUCCCAGAUCAGAUCAGAGAGGGGCAGAUCUCAUCCCAGACGCCUCAGAGGACUGACCUGCCUCCAGUCUCAACACAGGGCGUGGGGAAGGACACAGCUCCGGGCCUGCAGGCUUGGGUGCAAAUUCUUGCUUUGUCCCUUUCCUUGGACAAGUCUUGGCUCUCUGCUCCUCGUCUGUAACUUGGGAAUAAUAGCACCUGACGGGGUCGUUGUGGGAUUGAGUUAAUGCAGGUCAAGUACUUGGCCCAGUGCGCAGCACAUAGUAGGGCGUCGGGAGAGGAUCGUCACUGCUUUAUUAGCGUGUAUCAAAGUGGUGCUGUAACUCCAUCUUCCCACACACAUUUAUAGAGCAGCUUCAUCGAACCAGGCACUGUGCUAGGGACCAUGGGGUCCUCAGGGCGACUACUGAGUGCUUCUUGUCCCCUAGGAGCUGCUGACAGUCUGGGUGAGGAUCUAAAGAAGCCACAUACAACAAAUUUAGUGAGCAAGGCAAGCUGGUGGGAAGAGGAAGUCAUGGAACUUGGUUUUAAAGCAUAGGAUGACUUCGAAGGGAAAGGCUGUGGUGGUUAGGGAAGGCUUCCUGGAGGAGGUGAGGUUCAGGCUCUGGUCUCGUCCACUGUGUCCUGUUCAGUGCCCUGAGCUUGUAACAAGGCCUCACUGAGGCAUGCUCUUGGUGAGUGGCCCUGGCCAUGUGCCCAGGGUCUGGACAGAGGCUCCUGGGAGGAAGAAGAGAGGGGCAAGUGUUCAUGGCUAGGCUGGAGUUUGGGAGGGCUGGGAAGACCUCAGCUCUUCACCUGCUCCAGGACCUCAGGCCCAGAGAAAAGACAGGUCAGACCCAGGUGUUUGCCGCCUUGUGGGCCUGGCUGGGAGGCUGCUCUGCUGAGGGGUAGAUAGCCAGCCCCUCCGACUAGGUGCCCACUGUGGGCUUUGUCCUACUGCACAGGGAUGGGAAGACCCUCUCCUCGUCUCAGGGAUUCCAUCUGGUUUUUAUUUUCAUGUGUAGCAGUGACGAAUGUUACCACAAAACCCGAAAAAGGCAAGAGAAACAUACCUCCUCCCAGAAUGGGAAGUUUCAUCGCUUCGUGUCCACACUGCCUGGCUGAUGGAAUUUGACAUUCUGAGCUCGUUAGCGCUCAGAACUAGAGUCCCUUACAGCAGCAGCUUGCCAUGGGGAGGUCACAGAGGGGCUUUCACUUUGGCGUCAGUGAGAGUUUGGCUUCCAGGGAGAAGCUGUCCAGCGGGACUGACCCCCCAUCCCGAGGCUUCUCCUUCUGCUCAGCUGAGGCCCAGCCGGGCUGUGCAUCCCCUUCUCGAGGGAGGAGGGCCUUCCUGGGUCCCGGAGGGCAGUCAUGGACCCUCCUUCCCCUUUCAUCUCCCAGGUUAAGACUCCGGAUUGUCAGAGUUGGAUGAGAUGCCAGCAAGUCCUAUUCCAGAAAUCUGCAGGUGGGGAAACUGAGGCCCAGGGAGUAGAGGGAUUUGCUCAAAGUCACUCAGCGUGUCGGGAGAGCAGUUGCCAAUAAGAGCGUGGGCCCUGAAAGCAGAAAGAUGAGGCUGCGAGCCUUGUGCUGCCCCUCACUGGCUGUGUGACCUUGGACAGCAAAUGCCCUCAACUCGUAGGACUGCAGAGGGGACUGAGAGAACAUGUCUAAAGUGCCCAGCACUGCCUGGCACAGACUGAAGGCUCACCACAUGCUAGUUAUUGCUAUUCUUCUUGAUGUGGUUAUUGUCCUUAAGCCCAGAACUCUGGCUCUGCAGCAUGGCCUGUUAAUUCACCGGAAGGACUUUUCUCUGCCUUGGUGAUCUGCCCAGCAAAAGUCUAACAGCCUAUCUGUGCUAGCUUUGUCCUGUGGCCUGGAGCUAAAUCAUAGAGGCCUCCCGAGACCGGGCCACAGGCAGGCAGGGCUUUAGUAGGAGAGAAAAUGCUCCCUGUGGGCAGCGGCACGUGUCGUUAUUGUCAUCACCCGGCCUAGCUGGGUUCCAGAAUACUCCUACUGAAUGAAUGAAGGAUGGAAGGUUUGCCUGUUGAUUUCUCCAGACCCGGGCCACCUCUGGAGCUUGCCUCUAAGGCAGAAAGCAUGAAUUUUGGAGCCAGCUGGCCUGUUUCUUCAUCUGCAGAAGGGGUCAUGUUUGUCCUGAAGGACGCAGUGGGAGGGUGCGUGCAGAGCAUUUGGCACAAGGCAGGUGAUUCUGCAACAGAAGCUGCUACUGGGGCUCAUCCCCUCUCCACCGGCACAGGCACGCACCUCCUUCUACCCUGUUCCUCCAGCCCUUUGGACAGGCGGAACACGCAUUCCUACUCCCACUGUGCAGGAGAGGAAACUAAGGCCCCGAGAAGGUAAGUGACUUGCCCAAGUAACCAUCAGCAAAGCCAGGGCCUCAGGCCAAACCUCUGGGCUGCCCGGCCAUCCUCCUGCUCCUACAGGGCUUCUGGUUCGGCAGGCUGACAAAAACAGGGCUGAAAGGAAGCAAGUCAGCAGUUUCUCAGCCCUUCUCUUCUCCUGCCCUGGGCGAUCCGUUGCGUUUUCCUCUUCCAAGGCAGAAGCAGCCCUUCGGGUGAGAGUGUAUUGGGUUUCCACCCACUAGAUCUGGCUCUAGCUUUUAGCAGGGCUCCAGGAAAAACGGAAGGGGUCCUGGACCACAGGAUGGGCGACGUGAGCAGGGGCCUGUGACCCCAGGCCGGGGGUCCUGUUUAGGCCGGCUUCCAGGUAAAAUGUGCAGGAUUUGCUCCCUGAGCGCCUCUCACGCAGCCCCUGCCACCUGGCCCAGCGUCCUGGUGAUUAGGACUUAAUGAGCUGGCUGCAGGGAGCUCAGCGGCUGGGGCCGUUCCUCCAGGCCCGCGGAAUGCACCUCCACCCCAGUUGGGCCUCUGAGUUUUGUGUUUCAAGCCAACCUGCUCCUUGUAUAUCUAUGUGGAACCAGCAAGCCCCCCAGAGCAUUUUAUCGGGUUAUUCUGAAUUAGGAGUUUUAACAGCCUGCAGUGCAAAUGUAGAAGUCUUUAAGGAGAGAGAAUAAAUGAAGUUGGCCUGGGGGGAGUGCGCAGGGGAGGAAGGAGGAAAUCCCAGGCUGAGUUUUGGAAUAGCGCUUGAUUAUGUUGGUGACAGCAGGCUGCAUCUUCCAGGACAGGAGUCCCCCUGUGGUUUACAAAACACUUUGCCACACGUAAUUCUAUUUAAACCACCCAACCACCCUGAGAGAUAGCGAAGGUUUGUUUGCUUUAUUAUCUUGAUUUUACAGAUGGUGAAUCUGGAGCUCAGAGAGGUGCUGAGACUUGCUCAAGAUCACACAGCAAAGAACAGGCAGGGCUGGGAUUCUGGGCCAAGGCUGGUGUUCUCUUCCUGACACGACAGUAUUACCCCAAAGUCUUUGUUUUCCAUUCUCAAGUUCAACAUCAGUGGUGGAGCUGUAGCGGGGGCUGCCGAAGCUCCGCCCAGAUCCACAGGGCCCCUUUAUCCUCUUGGUGUGACCACCGCCCGCUUCUGUGCGCUUUGCUUCCAAUGGCCCUUGCCUGCAACCUUCUUCAGGAGGCGACCCUUGGGCCCUUGGAGCCAUUGGCCCAGGCACAGGGCUGACCGUGCCUGCGUUCACUGGGGUCCAUCGCCAAUGGCUGACGGGAACCAGAGCAUUAAGCCCAGCUCCCUCAACUCGAGGCAGGACAAACUCUGAGUUGUGAUUUACCCUCCAGAGCUCCUCGUGCGCUCAGGCUGGUCCUAGGACUUUGCCUGGGAUGGGAUGGCACCUUGCUUCGUUUCUCUCUCUUCCCUGUCCUGCUCCACCCACUCCCUCCCUCCAUUCUCCCCUGGGAGCACUUCCUUAAUACAUGCAUUAUAAAUAAAUUCUCACUUCAAAGUCUGCUUCUGAAUGUGACCUAAGACAGGCGCUGACCAAGGGCUCCAGCAUCAAGAUUGCAAAAAGAGAUGGGAUCAGAGAGGGAGGGGACGCUCCUUUGCUAAAAUCUGACCUUCGAGGGGAGCCCUUAGUGAAGCUGUGGCCAGCCACGGAGGUGGGGAAGAAGUCAUCUGAGAAUGUGCUGGAAUCUAUUUGCAAAUGAGCUGUGAUCUUAAAGGACUGAGGUCUCGUCCUCUCCUCUGAAUGACAGAAGUGGGAGCUUGGGGAGUGAGUCCUGGCUCUGGCCAGGGGCGCAAACCUGCUGCGUGCUGCCUUGGAUCUGAGACAGAGGUUAGCGUGCAGGACAUCUGCUAGAGGUAGAUUCUUAGGAACAAAACCUACAAAGGAGUGAGGAAAGCAGGAUUGGGCUGAGAGAGAUGGGAUUUCGAUGCAAUUGUAUCAGAGCUCCCAGGGGAUCCCACGGAGACCUCUGGGGCUGGGAGGGCCCUGAGAGACGUCCUCAAUCAAGGCCAGGGGCUGGGGUCUCAUACUCCUGCCAGGACUCCAGAUGAGGACAAGUUCUGGAGAAGGGCUCAGCUGUGAGGGCUCUCAGCUGCAGAGCAGAGCAGACACUUGUUGACUGACCGUUGACCUGUUCCCACCUGGCGUUUUCUUGUCACUGUUUCGUCCGAUCUUUGAGGAGAGAAGUUGUAGAAAGGAAACCUGUCUGCUUUCAGUUUCAUUUAAGUCCACGUAGAUUUCCUGAGGACUUCCUGUGUGCUGAGCCUUUAUAGGCCCUGUGGAGGACCGAGAGAUGAAGAAGUCAGGGUCCUCACGGAACUUCAGUCCAGCUGGAGAGACGCAGCUUUGCCUAUGACAAGUGGAAGGACAGCUCAGAGGAGCUGUUGUCAUAAUGCUUUUGCAGUGGCCUUCUUCAGAUCCCAUCCUGUCUCUGCUGUCACCCAGUGAUGCACUGGUAAGUGUUAACAACUUGCUCUCUGAACAACAACAACAACAACAAAAAGCACCUGACUUGUAGUGUUUGCCAAUUUCCAUGGUGUAACUAUCUCUACUAUGGCGCAUUCAUGCUACUAACGUGAUGUCGCUGAAGGCAGAGUUGGGAAGAAAUGCACGGUUGGCUCUUGUAAGCCAGUGUGGCUGGCUCCUGCAGACCACUGCAAGUCCGUUAGCUUUGGUGUCUCCCAUACCUCUGUUGCCAGAGCUAGAUUCUAAGGGCCAGAUCUUGACUUUUACGGUGUCCAGGAAGAGAAAGGAUUCCCUGGGUCCAUUUGGCCAUGGCGCCAUGGGCGUCAUACUGACAAGCUGAGGACAUGGAUUUCAUCGUGAAAGUCAGCUGUUUCCACAGAGUCACUAUCUCCCACCCCCGGCCCUACAGCAUCACCCUGCCCACCCACCUUCCUCUGUGUCGGAUGCUUCCAGGUCUGGGGUCUGCACACGGCCCACGCCUGCUCUGAUGUCAUGAUUCCCCCUCACGCGUGGAGAGCAUUUCAUAGUUUGCAAAGCACUUUUCACAGCCGUCUUCUCUCAUAAUCCUCCCAACAAGCCCCGAGAUUGGCUGCGCGGGUGUGAUUACCAUCGCUUUAUGGUUGAAUAACUCAAGGCUUGGGGAGGUUUAACGACUUGCUCAAGGCCACACUGACUGGUAAGUGGUGGCAGAGCAGGACCUAAAUCCCAUGCCCUCUGUAGCCCAGUCAAGUAUAUUUUCGUCUGUUUUGGACGGAUUGAGCAUCAUGGAUCUCCCAAAGUGCCUGCUAAAUCGAAAGCUGGGUUAAAAACCAUAUGCCUGGAUUUAUCCUUUUAAUUUAGAAAUAUUAACCUUAAAAGUUCUGCCAACUUAUAUCCAAUUUUUUUUUAACAUCGUUCCCCUUUUGGUCUUGGUAGGUGAAAACCAGGAGAUUUGGGGAGGGGAAAUGAUACUAUUCACAGGUGAUUCCACCCCUCCCUGACCUGUCCAUUCUCUCCCCAGCCUCCCCCAAACCCAAAAGCUGUGACAGCCCAGGUGACCACGGAGAGGAAAUCCCUGGCCAGAACAGCCUCUGCUUCGCAAAGGGACAGCAAUAAAGGCAGACUUUUGCCCGGAGCACCGGACUUCUGAGGCUGGUCUGCACGGAUCUGACUGAGGCGGCAUUAACAUUCCUGCCGGAGAUGGAAUCUGCUCUUCUGAUUAGGACUUUGUGAACAUUACACACCCGCGCUCCAGCCGGGGAGAUUUCUAUCUGUGACUUUGCUUAUGAUCUGCUGUGCCCUCAACUCCGGGGAUGGAACAGCUGCAAUGUUUGACUGGACGUUCAGAAAAGAUAAACCUGCCGUCCGUGGGUUUACACACCCACUCACCUGCACACCCACACCACACUCUGUGAAGUCUCACCUUUGUUUUCUUCCAGUGCAGUGUUAAAUGUGGGUGAAUGUUUCCCAAACCUGCCUGAUGGGGAAUUUGCCAGAAAACACAGAUUCUCAGGUCCCCUCCCAAUCUGAUUCAGCAGGUUGGAAGAGGGGUUGUAUUAAGAAGUUAUAGUUUUAACAAGACCACAGGAAAUUCCUAUGAUUGGAGGAGUAUGAUUGGAUAAAUUCAGCAGGGGUGGCCCAGUGCUUCUCAAACCACAGCAGGUGCCCGGAACAGCUGGGCGGCUUGUUAAAAAGAGCUGACCUUCUUAUCUGGGCCUGAGAAGUUACAUUUCUGACACACUCCCAGGUGAUGCGGAUGCUGCUGGCGUGGAGACGACACUUUGAGAGCCACUGGUGGAGACAGACGUAAACUGCUCAGCCUCGGUUUCACCAUCUGUCACGUGGGGUUCAUCAAAAUUUAUACCUCCUGGGUGUCGUUAUGAGGAUUAACUGAGUUAAUACUUGUAAAGAACUUCCAGCAGUGUCUGGCACAUGGUAAAUUAGUAUUCCGUGUUUGUUAAAUAGACGAACUAAAAUGCCAGCCUAGGUUAUAGGUAACUUUUCAUUCAUACACUCAGUGAAUACAUAAUGAUACCACCCUGUGCUGGAACCGUCUUGUAAGUAGGGAGCACGCGGUGGUGCAGGAGGCAGAUAGAGUCCCUUCUCAUUCUGUGGUCAAGAACGGUGGAUUUUCUGGUUAUGGCUGAUGCGUUCUUCCAGCAUGUCAUUCUUGGAAGCCCAUGUAUCUCCCAAGACCUUAAAAGCCCAAUGAUAUGAUCAACAUCAAGACCCUGUCCUGCUGUGCUUGCACACUUGACUUAGCCUUCAAGGCACCCAUCCUGAUUCUUAACCGCACAUCUGUUCGUGCAAUGGUUUCACAGCUGCUUCCUCGUGGAUGGCACGGUUGGUAAGGCCAGGCUCUAUCUCUGCGGCUCGUCCCUGCUGAGUCCCCAGCACAUCGUGCUGCGUCUGGCACAUCAUAGCUGCUCAAUGAAUUUGUUGAAUGAGUGGAUGGUGGAUGGAUGGACAGACAGAUGGACAGACAGACAGUUGGAGCCUGGUCACUCACCGGCCUCUCCCAGGUGACCAAGCAGUUUCCUGUCAGGCUUCCCACCUCCAUCCUUGGCCCCUUCAAUCCAUUUUCCCCCCUGCAGCUGCAGAGAUGGUUCUAAAACCCAGGUCUGAUCCUCUUCCAUGGCUCUCUCUUUUAAUAAUUUUCUUCUAUGGACCACGUGUAAAUCAAACUCCAUAACUUAUACGUUAAUUCAUGUCUCCAUUUACAAGUAAUCAAAGUCAUGUGCCUGCCAAUCGAAUUGUUGGUUACCAGGAGAUAAGAAGUGCUAAUAAAAUUUCAACUCAAAGCAAAGAAACUUGAUGUCUUACUGAACUAUGCAGCUUUAUCCUGGGUAAAUGUACGGUUCCCGCUAAGCUUCUAGAAUCGCUGAAAAUAGCUCAUCGAUCCCCUCUCCCCAUAGCUGCUACUUGGACUCUCAGGGGUCAGGACGCCUGAUGGGGAAACCACAUGAUUAGGGGGAAAACGCAAACUUCCUGGCCUGGAGUAUAAAGCCCACAUGCUUGCCCGAUCUUUCCUUUUGAGUUUCGUCUCUUGCUACUUCCAGCUGGUUGGCUGCUCAUGGGCAUCUCCUUGACCAGGUGGGAGCUCCUGGCCGGAGUCUAGUCCAGUAUAGCACACGCUCCAAAGCUGUGGAUGAAUGAACAGCUCUGCCUUGUGUACAACAGAUUUACUUUUAAGUUAUCUUUUCAGAUUCUUUUUUGCUUAUACUCAUAAUCUGAGUUUUUCAAAUUUUAAUGCCCAGCAGGCCUUUAUGAAGACUGUCUGUCUAAUUUCUCCAUCUAGGUAUUUGUCUAGAUAUAAUAGGGUGCUAAAAUGUUACCCCCAGGAGGUUAUAAAAGGAUUGAAAUAAAGAGGCCAGGCAGAGGAUUUCUUUGAAGGGAGUGGUUGGAAUGUGGUACAUUUC